CUUCCCGUUUGACUACCAUCUGUUUGCACAACAAAAUGGGUGGCUAUGCUUAUGGGAUAAAAAAAAAGCCUGCCAAAGUCUGUAGAGGAAGAAUGAUACUGUCUUCUUCUUAUGUGCAGUGGCAGAACAUGUUCUU